AUCAUUUUUAAUGAAUUUUAAUAUUAGAUCUAAUAGCUGCUAGAAAGAAAGACAAAACAGCAACAGAAAAAUGUUGGCAAGUUAUUCAAGGGAGAUAGUCUAGUAUUAAGCCUUAAAACCAAAAUGGCUAUUUCCAAUGACAAUAUAUGCUUAGGAGCCAUAUAAAUCUUUAUGAUGACUGAACUUACUGGAGCAGGUCUUCGCCAGUGAUGGCUCCUCAUGUAUCCGAAACUUAAAAUAGUUGACAACUGAUUGUUUAACUUAUUGGUAACGUAAUUACCACAGUCUACGGAAUCAAAACUACGAAGAUUGACACGCCCGAAUGUUAAAAAAGAAAUGUAGAUUGUACAGCGUUGACUAUUUUAAAUUGGGAUUCAUUAUUUUUUUAUCAAACAAGAGGUUGCUUAAGUGGCUUUUUAUGACAAUAUGAAACCAAUUACGUUGGAGGAUCAUUUGAGAUGAUGUCACCCUGAUAAAAAGAUAAAGGUUUGAAAAAAAAAAGAUUCUCAAAGAAAAAGUUCAAAAUAGACUCACAACAUCUCUCUUCAACAUGAGACAGAGAGAGAAGAUGAUGGUUUGUGAGCGUCUUACAAGAUUUGUUUACUUAUAGCCUAAUAGCGAAAACAUUAAAGAUAAAACACUGAUUUUACCUACUGUUAAAGUAGUUUUAAAAACUUGUUUUAACACAACCCUAAAUUUGAUAGUAUUAAAUGAAUUUAUUUAAGCAACAAUACAUUUUAAGGGCACAUUAGUUGUGUGAGUUAUAACAUUAAAAGCCUAUAAUGUAAUUCUUUGCAAACGAGAUAAACAGUUUGGGAUUAGCGGCCUUGCAGGCUCUGGCAAGAUGUAGCGCUGUGUGCAGCAAACUGCCAAAAGGUCACCGGCUUGACGAAACAUUUCCCAUGCUUGGGUAGGCCUAUAUCUACAAGGCAGCAGAAGUUUGAAUUCACUUUUCCUUCUGCUAGGUGGGUUGCAAGCCCAGACUAAUGAGACCCUCCCGCCCAACGCUUACUGAAAACCUACAUCUUGGCUAUUAAAAUCCAUGUUAAUACUGCUAUUUGUUAUAUAAUGUAUGUGUCAAAGUCAUGAGAUGUAUAAAUUAGAUGUUUACAUAAACAUUGGUUUUGUGAAACAUCGUAAAUUUUAUUUAUUACCAUACUAUAAAUGGCCUAGAAAGUUGAAAAUAAGAGUACCAGUUCAAUGUUAGAGAAAAUAAUAUUAGGUAGGGGAGACAAUAAAAGAGUUUUAAUAUGUUCAAUCUUCUUGUUUAGUCCACUUUUGUGAAUUAUAGUUUAAGUUUAAUUGUGUUAAAUCAUAUUAGCCACCCAACUCUAUUGUAAAAAUCGUAUUAUACAAUGCAACUUUUAUCUAUAGAUAAUGACCCUGUAAUAACUACAAUGACCAACCAGCGUUACUUUCCCCAGCUGUCUGGUGCCCAAUAGAUUUGGUUGGACUCUCAGGCAUCAUUCUAUUGCCUCCUAUGGAUCAUCUCGGUGAGAUGAAUUCCUGGGCAUUAGCUGUGGUCGGAAGGAUGUUGCCCACACAUCAGUUCCCCCCUCUCCACGCAACUGAUGUAUCCAAAGGAACGGCAGUGCCGAUACUGUUUGGGGUUAGCAGCGUCGCAGGUUCUGCCAGAGUGUAGCACUGGGUGCUGCAAACUGCCUUAGGGUCGCCAGCUCAUUUUUCCUCAGGGUUGACUUCCGAAGCCCAUGAUUGGGUAUAGCUGCAAAGCAACAGAGGUUUGAAUUCAGAGUUUUCCUUCUCCUAGGUGUGUAGCCAGCAAGGUUGUCAUUGCCGGAGUGGUAAUGGAUGUAAGAACUCCACUACCUAUAAAAUGCUUCCAACUGGCAUGCGUCUCAAAUAGCCUCUGACAACCAGUCCAACUCCUGGCCUUCACGUGUGGCUCAGAUAUUGAGUCCGGCGGAACUGUUCUCACUAACAGGAGAAAGGACAAAGGCGAGUAACUGGCGCCUUAACCAGUAAGCUUCGGGCAGGAGGGGCUCAGGCAUCAUAAGAAUCAAAGAUACCAUUCUUCAGCAAGAUUUGAACCCUUAGAUCCCCUCAGUUUGGAAGAGAUGCACUUAACCUCUCAACCACAAGAUCCCAAAGUUAAAAUUUAUUUAGCAUAAAUAUUUAAAUGUCUAGAUCCUCUGUUACUGUUUGCAGCACAUUUUUCAGCAUUAUUACAUUUUCAACUAACUGUUAACUGUUAUACAAGAAAUGCUAAAAUCUUAUUGAUUUAAGCAAGUACUUAUAAAUGCAAUGCAGCCAUUGUUGUGUACUGCAAGUAGUAAUUAGAAGCCUAAUUUUACAAACUUCAAUAAAAAUAAUUUGGUUUGAAACCUAAUUGUCUAAAUUUAAAAAAAAAUAAAAAAUUAUGGUUUAAAUAAGCUCAAGACAUGCCAACCUAUUUACCCAAAACAUUAUUUCUGUACACUUGAUUUUUGAAGAAUUAUUUUCAUAAUGCUGUCUAGUGUCUUUAUCAAUUGAUAUUAAUACACAUCUGGGUACUGUUCAUGCAUUGCUUUUUAAUGCUCUGAGUAUCAAGCACACUGAUUUAGUUCAUUCAUGUUCAGUUUCUAUUAGCUACCCUACUAGAUGAAAUGCCCAUAUUCAUUCCCAGCUAUCCUGCAGGAGGUUUGGGAUGCAAUAAUCUUAAAUUGCAAAGGAACAUCCAGAUGGAACAAAUUACUGACAAAAGUAAAAACCACACUGACAACAUAUUUAAUAAGAAAAAUACCAUGAUUUAAUAAGUUGAAAUAAAACAUCAUGAAUACAAACAAUGAUUCACUUGUUUAAAAUCAGAUCAGUGAGUAAACACAAGUUCUGUACUGAUUCUCUAGUAGCCAUUUCUAUCAAGCUACUCUUUUGAUUUCAUUGUAAGUCAUGUAGCAAGGAGUUGCAUUAGAUUUGGCGUAGGCUUUGAUGACUUUAUUUA